GGCUAAGAUCAAGUGUAGUAUCU
rnacentral:piRNA from 4 species